CACACACACACACACACACACACACACACACACAGGAAUAUUAGCCAUAAAAAGAAUGAAAUCUUGCCAUUUCCAACAACAUGGAUGCAUCUAGAAGGUAUAAUGCUCUGUGAAAUAAGCCAGUCUUAAACUGGAAUUUACAAAGAAAGUUGUUAGGUUGCAUGCUCUUUCCUGCUUUUGCUUUUCCUGGUGUAUUCCUCUCCAUCUGUGCUACGGGCCUGGCUGGCUGCCUUACUGUUUUAUGACAAAAAUGUUUAGGAGUUAUGGAAUGUGUCUGGUGAUAGUAUUUGGAUUUGGGCUCCAGGAAAAGCCUCCUUAGGCCUCUGGUCUAACUCCUUGCCUUGGGGAAGUGGUGGGAAGGGAUUACCAGAGAGCCUGUGUUGGGUAUAUGAGUAUAAUUUUAGGAAACUUGAAGGUUGUUUUUAUUUGCCAUUGGCUCAUUUAUAUAUCUCCCUCAGAAACUUCAUAGCACAGAUAUUUGGGCCAAAGCCAGAUUUCAGUAAUUUUGACAGACUUUGACAAAUCACUUGGUAAUUAUAAAUAAAAUUAACACUGUUUUAUAACAUGACCAAAAAUAAAUAUUUUUAAAAGACAUGAGUAGUCUUCUUUUUAACUUGAAAAGCAAAGGGAAAGAGCCACAUCAGUGAAAUGCUCAUUGAUAAUUCAAAAUUAACAUUUAAGUUAUUAUAAACUAUUGACAAUAUAGGUGCCUAGGUGGCUCGGUUUGUUUAGUGUUAACUUUGGCUCAGGUCAUGAUCUCAUGGUUUGUGAGUUCGAGUUCUGCUGUAAGCACAGAGACCACUUUGGAUCCUUGUCUCUCUGCUCCUCCCCCACCCCUCUCUUGCAAAAAUAAAUAAACAUUAAAAAAUUUAAUAAAACUACUGAAAAUAGUGGCAGUGAAGCAGCGAUCCUUAAAGGGCAUUGCAAUUCCCUUUGCCCCAUUUAUGUGGGACUUCUAUGAUGAGAAUAUUGCUGCUGCAACAAUAUUUAGUAUGUGGAUGAUACGAAGAUGUAAAAACCUUUGAGGACCUCUACACUGAAGGUCAAUGACUAAGACUGCAAUCUGUUGAUUAGAGAAGGUCUGGGAUGGAAGGGUUCUGGUUCAUGUUAACACUCUAGGCAUCUCUGCUGCCAUUAGAGUAGUUCCUCAUUCUGCAAACUCUUUCUGUAAAGGAGCAGAUGGAAACAUUUUAGUCUUUUCAGGCCCCAAAUGGUCUCUGUCCCAUAACCUUUGUGUUUGCGAUUUUAAACAUGUAAAAACCAUUCUUAACUCACAGUCCAUACAAAAGCAGGUGGUAGUCCAAAUCCAUGGAUGGGCUCCAGCUUACCCAUCCCUUUACUAGAACCUAGAACAGUAGUUCCUGAGUAACUGUUAAAUGAAUGACCUUCAUGAUAGUAUUAUCAGUAGUUAAUAUUGUAUCAUUAUCACUGAAUGAGAAAGACUAAAAACAAAAGAACUAGUCAUUUAACUCGAGAUUCUAGGAAACAAAAAAUAAACCAAAAGAGAAUUAAAGAGAAUUUUAAAAGUUUUGAGCAGAAAUUAAUUGGAAAACAAACAUCAAGUCUAUGUUUUACUUUUUUAAUUUUUAUGUAUUUAUUGACAGCAUAAGCUUGGGAGGGGUAGAGAGAGGAGAGAGAAUCCAAAGCAGGCUCUAUGCUGACAGCACGGAGCCCAACGCGGGGCUCAAUCCCCUGAACCAUGAGACCAUGACCUGAGCGGAAACCAAGAGUUGGAUGCUUAAGCGACUGAGCCACCCAGGUGCCCAAAGUCUAUGUUUGAUUUUAAGACCAAGAGUUGAUUCUCUGAAAAUCAAAUAGAAUAGACAAACAUUUGCCCACUCAGAUAAAGGGGAAAAAGAGAGAGAUGUGUGCAUGUAGAUAUGGCUCUAUGACAUAGGCAGGGAGACAGAAGUCUAAUGUAUACAGUCACAGCAAUGAACUACAGGGAAUAGAAAAUGAGAAUAUCAAUAUUCAGAUGAGGAUUGGAAAAGAUAGCCAGGCCACUAAAUAAGGCACAAAGCUCUAGUGGCAUUUCCACCUAACUUUCAUUAAAGACAUGAUUACUAUAUUAAUUAAACCAUUCUACUUUAUUUUCAAGUUCCAUAUAACUCUCAUGCCAAAACCUGAUAAACAGAGCCCUUGAAAAAGGUAAACCAGUUUUAUUGAUUAGUAUAGAUAGAAAAAUUCUAAAUGAAGUGUAAUCAAAUUGCAUCCAGCUAAGUUUUAAAUGAUUAUUACACUAUGAAUGAGAGUGGUUUUCCCAGGGAUUUCACAGUGCUGUGCUGGAGCUGUCUAGUCCUGGAUUGUGAGAGCCACUUGUGCACGUCUGUUCCCAACUCUGCAUUCAAUGCCAUUAAAUCAUCGGCUUGAAAUCAGGUCUGAUUGGACUGUUACAAAUCAGGUAUGUUAAUGAGUAUUUAUAGCAUGGAAAUGAGCAAACGCUACAAAUCAACACCUUUCCCCCCUAACCGUCCCCCAUUUUGCUUCUGAGCCAAGUGUUAAACAUUUGCCAGCACACCACUGGAUGUUAACUGUAUUUUGACAAUAGGAAAGAGAAGAAAUGUGAUCAUACCAAAGAUGCUGAAAAAGCAUUUGAUGAAAUUGUGCAGCCAUUGCAAAUAAAAAGGAGUGGAAGGAAAUUUUUAAAUGUGGUAGAAAGUAUUUGUUUGAGGGGUGGCUGGGUUGCUCAGUCGGUUAAAGUGACUGUCUCUUGAUAUUGGCUCUGGUUGUGAUCGUGCAGAGCGUGGAGCCUGCUUGGGGUCCUCUCUCUCCCUCUCUCUCUGCCCCUACUCUGCUUGUGUGCUCCUCUCUCUCUCAAAAUAAAUAAAUAAACAUUAAAAAAAGUAUUUGUUUGAAACAGUGAACAUUAUGUUAAAGAGUGAAAUAUGGGAUCCAUUCACAGUAAAGUCAAGAAAAGAUGGGCUUAUUUGUUUUACAUAUAUGUCUAUAUAUGUGUCUCUCUGUGUGUGUUUAUGUAUAUUAAUCACAAAAGCAUUUAGGGUAAUUGCUACUUCUGUUUACCAGGUCCUGCCAGCAUAACGUCAUCAAUGUAAUGGGCCAGUGUGGUGUUCUGUGGGAUGUCAACACGUUUGGAGUCCCUUGGGUGUAUAUUAUAACAAAGAACAGGAGCCGGCAUUGUCCUGAGACAUGAACAGUAAAGUUAAUACUCCCGAUCCUACGUUGAAUGACUGGUUCUUAAAGAAGAGAGCACAGGCUAUGCAAGCAUUAGAAGGAAUUGUGGCAUCAGCGCCCUGAUAAGCAAGUCCAACUUAACUUCUCACAGAUGCCUGGCACACUCAGAUUGGACUGUAAUGACACUUGAGCUUCAUAACUAACUGUCUCCUUCACAUCACAUAGCAGUAAGUACAGGAGAAGAAGAAGGAGGGCUGCAGGACAGAGAGUGGCACAGUCUUCAGAAGCUAUAGCACUAUCUGCGCCCUGAUUAGAAGAUACUUUCAAUUGAAGACACUUUAGUUUUACUCUUUGUGUCGGGGCAUAAACAACUUGAACACCUGCCCACUGAAAUGAAUAGAAUGAAUGUUUUCAUUGCUCCCCAUGCUGAGCAGAUACCAUCGGAUCUUCUGAUCCUGAGCCACUACCAAGCCGGGUAGUGUGUCCAUCACAUAGCCGUUGAUUGCUGGA